rnacentral:piRNA from 1 species
UUCAUAUACAAGGCAGGACCCCGAUCA